CUGACUCUUUCUGCCGUUGCCAACACGUGGACUCCCAAUUCCUCAAAGCUAAAACUCAUUCAACAGACCUUGUUAGAAGCAUCCACUUCCACGUUGAGCAUCAAUUGCCCCAAAAUCCACCAGACCUCGCCUAAUAAUUUAGCGAAAUUAGAGCAGUUAGCCUUUUCCGAUUCACAUCUACCAUAAAGAGCAGAUUAUUAGAAGUUCAUCAACAUGUCUGCUUGCCGGAGGGCAAUUUCGUCUUCAUGGUGUUAUUGUGCUAUGAAAAAUUCCUGUGGUAUCCCUGUACCGGUGGAUUUGAGAUGUUUAGAGAAAGGCUACAUAGGCUAUUAUUAUUGAAGUCGGAGAUUCUAGGCAAGCUCGUUUUGAUUUUGGAUGCGGUACAUUGGAAUCCUGAAGCACCACCAUGAACGUUAUUGGGCGUCCGCCUGUGACAUACAGUCUUCCUUUCUGAUGAAUUAGUUCACAACACGCUCAGCUCGAUCUACUUUUUGACGAGCUUAUAUGAUGUUGGAAAUUGAAUUUUAGAAGGCAAAGAAUAAGAACUUUCUACGCUUUGCUUUUGGGUCUUUGCAGAUAUUAUCACAUGUAUUUUUAUUUACAAUUGUAAUAUUAUUUAUAUCUCUCUUUA